rnacentral:tRNA from 1 species
GGAGAGGUGGCCGAGCGGUCGAAGGCACUGUCCUGCUAAGACAGACCCGCUUAUCCCGGGCCCGGGUUCAAAUCCCGGCCUCUCCGCCA